AGUUGCUUGCAGCCUUCUGAGGUGGCAUGGUGUUACUCUGGAUAGAUGUGGUAAUCUACAUAACCUUUUGCUUUCCUGAGUGGCUAGUCAGCCUGAACUUGAAAAAUUGGCAUGCUGAACCAUCAGGACCAGAUUAAUGGAACUGAGAAAUCCAAGAAGGAAAGUGGAGGCUGAGUGAUGCUGAUUACUCUGGAAGGUGUCAUGUCAUUGAUAGUUUUUGUUUUUUAUGCUGAUAUUAACUACACACUGUAAAGUGAAACCAGGAUUUGGAAACUGUGAAUUGCUACUCAACAAAAUGAGUGAGGAAAGAAGUUUCAGUGGGAGACUGUAAGUAAAAUGUGUUAAUACUGCACUUAGCUGUGACUCAUUGUGCAGAUCCUUGCAUUACAGGC